CAUUUAUUACUAAUCCUAUAUAACCGACAAAAAAUGCAUUCAGUGAUUGUUAAUCGAAAAAAUUAUUAUUCGGGUAUUGUUGCAGAAGCUUGUCGAUCGUGAACUUGAUAAACAAUCAACACAGAACCAUGGAUCGCGUGAAAAAUAAAACCAGAUUAUUCUAAAACAGAGACAGAUGGAACACAUAUAUUAAGACAGCUACAACACUAGAUCCGUAUGAUUUAUAAAAACCAAUGUGGGUUUGUGUAUCAAACAUUGUCUCCUUGACUGCUGGCACAGUCUGCAUCCGUGAAACCCAAGCAUUUAGCUUGGGAAAUUUGUCCAUUGGCAUAAGAUCAGCAU